AUUGAACGCUGGCGGCAGGCCUAACACAUGCAAGUCGAGCGAGCGGCGGACGGGUGAGUAAUGUAUGGGGACUGCCCGAUAGAGGGGGAUAACUACUGGAAACGGUGGCUAAUACCGCAUACAAUCGGAUAACCCAUAUGGGAUGAGCUAGUAGGGGGGGUAAAGGCACCACUAGGCGACGAUCUCUAGCUGGUCUGAGAGGAUGAUCAGCCACACGGUGACGGAGACACGGCCCAGACUCCUACGGAGGCAGCAGUGGGGAAUAUUGCACAAUGGGCGCAAGCCUGAUGCAGCCAUGCCGCGGGUAUGAAGAAGGCCUUAGGGUUGUAAAGUACUUUCAGCGGGGAGGCGUUACCCGCAGAAGAAGCACCGGCUAACUCCGUGCCAGCAGCCGCGGUAAUUC
rnacentral:rRNA from 1 species